rnacentral:rRNA from 1 species
CCUACGGGUGGCAGCAGUGAGGAAUAUUGGUCAAUGGACGAGAGUCUGAACCAGCCAAGUAGCGUGAAGGAUGACUGCCCUAUGGGUUGUAAACUUCUUUUAUAUGGGAAUAAAAUGUUCCACGUGUGGGAUUUUGUAUGUACCAUAUGAAUAAGGAUCGGCUAACUCCGUGCCAGCAGCCGCGGUAAUACGGAGGAUCCGAGCGUUGUCCGGAUUUAUUGGGUUUAAAGGGAGCGUAGGUGGAUUGUUAAGUCAGUUGUGAAAGUUUGCGGCUCAACCGUAAAAUUGCAGUUCAAACUGGCAGUCUUGAGUACAGUAGAGGUAGGCGGAAUUCGUGGUGUAGCGGUGGAAUGCUUAGAUAUCACGAAGAACUCCGAUUGCGAAGGCAGCUCACUGGACUGCAACUGACACUGAGGCUCGAAAGUGUGGGUAUCAAACAGGAUUAGAUACCCCUGUAGUC